UACGUAGGUGGCGAGCGUCGUCCGGAUUUACUGGGCGUAAAGGAUGCGUAGGUGGAUGUUUAAGUCAGAUGUGAAAUACCCGAGCUUAACUUGGGUGCUGCAUUUGAAACUGGAUAUCUAGAGUGCAGGAGAGGUAAGUGGAAUUCCUAGUGUAGCGGUGAAAUGCGUAGAGAUUAGGAAGAACACCAGUGGCGAAGGCGACUUACUGGACUGUAACUGACACUGAGGCAUGAAAGCGUGGGUAGCAAACAGG
rnacentral:rRNA from 1 species